rnacentral:rRNA from 1 species
GACGAACGCUGGCGGCAUGCCUUACACAUGCAAGUCGAACGGCAGCGGACCUUCGGGUGCCGGCGAGUGGCGAACGGGUGAGUAAUGCAUCGGAACGUGCCAUUGAGUGGGGGAUAACGUAGCGAAAGUUGCGCUAAUACCGCAUAUUCUGUGAGCAGGAAAGCAGGGGACCGCAAGGCCUUGCGCUCUUUGAGCGGCCGAUGUCAGAUUAGCUAGUUGGUGAGGUAACGGCUUACCAAGGCGACGAUCUGUAGCGGGUCUGAGAGGAUGAUCCGCCACACUGGAACUGAGACACGGUCCAGACUCCUACGGGAGGCAGCAGUGGGGAAUUUUGGACAAUGGGGGCAACCCUGAUCCAGCCACGCCGCGUGAGUGAAGAAGGCCUCGGUUGUAAG